GACGUCAGCGGCGCACGUGGCCGCCGGGCCGGGCUGCGGGGCUCGCGCCGAUCUCGUCCCGCCGGCACAGCGGUUCGAGCCGCAGUGCGCCGCGCCAUGAGGGUGCAGCCGGAGCGGUGCUGCGGGGAGUGGCGGGAGCUGGACGAGGAGUUCCGGCAGCUGCAGGAAACACACAAAGUUUACAGGCAGAAACUGGAGGAAGUCACCAGCUUGCAGACAGCCUGCAGCAGCUCCAUACACCGGCAGAAGAAGACAUUAAGGGACCUGAAGCACAGCCUGCAACGGUGCAAGCCCAGAGCUACUCCUGAAGAAUUUGCUCUUAUAGAGCAGAUCAGCACCCAGAUCAAAGAGAGGCAAAAUGCCUUCUUUGACAUGGAAGCCUACUUGCCAAAGAAAAACGGUUUGUACUUAAAUCUGGUGCUGGGAAACGUGAAUGUAACCCUCCUGAGUAACCAAGCAAAGUUUGCCUACAAAGAUGAGUAUGAGAAGUUCAAACUUUAUCUCACAAUAAUCUUGUUACUUGGGGCCGUGGCCUGCAGAUUUAUUCUUCACUACAGGGUGACAGAUGAAGUGUUCAACUUUCUGUUAGUGUGGUAUUACUGCACACUGACGAUACGGGAAAGCAUUCUCAUUAGCAAUGGAUCAAGGAUCAAAGGCUGGUGGGUGUCUCAUCACUAUGUCUCCACGUUCCUGUCUGGAGUAAUGUUAACAUGGCCAGAUGGACUCAUGUAUCAAAUGUUUCGCAGUCAAUUUUUAGCAUUUUCAAUAUUUCAGAGUUGUGUUCAGUUCCUGCAGUAUUAUUAUCAAAGGGGCUGCCUUUAUAGGCUCCGUGCUUUGGGGGAGAGAAACCACUUGGACCUUACAGUAGGUGAGGUUGCCUGCAAUACUGCAACACAGAUGGGAAGGAUUUCAGUCCUGGAUGUGGCGGGGGCUGACAUUUCUCCUUCCCUUCUUGUUCUGUGGACAUUUCUGGCAGCUAUAUAAUGCAAUUACGCUUUUUGGGUUGUCCAGACAUAAGGAGUGCAAAGAAUGGCAGGUUUGUGUGCUGGCUUUCACAUUUCUGCUGCUCUUCCUUGGGAACUUCCUCACUACUCUCAAAGUGGUGCACACUAAGCUGCAGAAGAACAAAGACAAAAUGAAGAAACUGUGAACCCUGCAGGGGGUGCUGGGUGCCAACUUUGGAGCUCGCUGUCCCUGUGCGCACAGCAGGCGCUCGGCGUUGGACGGAGCCUCCUUAACUGCUGCUGCAUUGCAAAUGGACUUUGAAGAACUCAUCUGUCCCGUGUUUGGUGAAGGAUGUGGACUCUUCCAGCACAGACUCAGCAUAUUAUGCAAGCAUGGCUCUCCAGUUUGCAGUCCUGCUAUUUAUGUAUAUUUAAUACCAAACGUGUUUGCAUUGGGUUUUUCUGUAUAUAUAGCAGCAUGCACCUGCUUGGCAAGAAGCCAGCAUUGAGAGAAUGUGGGAUCUACUGUAAUUCCGGUCCUGGAAUGAUAUUUAACACUUCCCAGUUUUAUUAUUUAAACUCUAGUAUGGAAUUUUGCAAAGCUUUAUGAACACUCCAGGAUGAUCAGUAAUACAGACUGAAUGCUGUUUUUUAAAAAGCAUUUGUUUCAGGCAUUUUCAGUGGCAAUACUAACCUGUGUGUACUGUGAAAAAAGGCCCAUCUUUGUACCCAUCUUUGUACCAUACUGCUGCUAUAUACACUUCUAAGAAGCUAUUUAAAGAAAUCUUGAAAACAAGCAAGCAACACCAGUUGUUAAAUGGCAGGGAAUUCUGCUAGCCCUCUUCCACAGGGAUCAGGUAAUCUGUCCAAGCCUGGAAAAAACUUAAAAUAAACCAUACAAUAUGCAGCUGCUUCAGCCCCUUUGGGUUGUCUUUUGAGAGAGUUUUUCCUGAAAAUUAUCUCGAUCAGUGGCAGUAAGUGCAGUUGCACUUCAGCUCCUAUUUGCAGUUUUUCUUUUGUUUUCUUUUUUGCUCCAGUGGUGUUCUGAGAGGUGAAGACAGGCUAAGCAGAAGCAUUAAAUAUUUUCAUUAGAUACCAGUUGUUCAGAGAACGUAAACACUUGUUCAGAAGGAUGGCUGUGAACAAAAAGACUCCCCUCUUGCUUAACUCCUUUUGCUUCUUAAACUUAAUCAGCUGAAUAAGCUUGUUUGAAUGCUUUAACAUCUGUGCCUCCUGAGCUGCAGUACUGUGAGCUGCUGUAUGCGGUGUGCUUCUCAGCUGCGCCGGCUCCCUCUGAGCUGGCAUAGGGCCAACGGGAGAAGUGGCUUUGGCUGAACGAUGAGAGAAUUACGCCCAUCUCCCAGUAAGCAUGCUCAUGAAGAAAUACUUAUGCACUACAGACUUCAAAUGUUCCAGCAGUUAUUUUGUUGCUGCAAGGCUAGUAAAUUUAUCCUUACAGUGUCACCGUCAUGUGGGCAUGAACAAUAAACUGCAAUUUGUAU